rnacentral:rRNA from 1 species
CCUACGGGAGGCAGCAGUGAGGAAUAUUGGUCAAUGGACGGAAGUCUGAACCAGCCAUGCCGCGUGCAGGAAGACGGCUCUAUGAGUUGUAAACUGCUUUUGUACAAGGGUAAACCUGAAUACGUGUAUUCCGCUGAAAGUACUGUACGAAUAAGGAUCGGCUAACUCCGUGCCAGCAGCCGCGGUAAUACGGAGGAUCCAAGCGUUAUCCGGAUUUAUUGGGUUUAAAGGUCGCGUAGGCGGAUUGAUAAGUUGGGGGUGAAAUGUCCGAGCUUAACUCGGGAACUGCCUCUAAUACUGUUGAUCUAGAGAGUAGGUGCGGUAGGCGGAAUGUAUGGUGUAGCGGUGAAAUGCUUAGAGAUCAUACAGAACACCGAUUGCGAAGGCAGGUUACCAAUCUAUAUCUGACGUUGAGGCACGAAAGCGAGGGGAGCAAACAGGAUUAGAUACCCCUGUAGUC